GACGAACGCUGGCGGCGUGCCUAAUACAUGCAAGUCGAGCGAAGUUUUUCUGGUGCUUGCACUAGAAAAACUUAGCGGCGAACGGGUGAGUAACACGUAAAGAACCUGCCUCAUAGACUGGGACAACUAUUGGAAACGAUAGCUAAUACCUGAUAACAGUAUUUCUCGCAUGAGAGAUAUUUAAAAGUUGGUUAUGCUAACACUAUGAGAUGGCUUUGCGGUGCAUUAGCUAGUUGGUGGGGUAAAGGCCCACCAAGGCGACGAUGCAUAGCCGACCUGAGAGGGUGAUCGGCCACACUGGGACUGAGACACGGCCCAGACUCCUACGGGAGGCAGCAGUAGGGAAUCUUCCGCAAUGGGCGAAAGCCUGACGGAGCAACGCCGCGUGAGUGAAGAAGGAUUUCGGUUCGUAAAGCUCUGUUGUUAGGGAAGAAUGGAUAUGUAGUAACUAUACAUGUAAGAGACGGUACCUAACCAGAAAGCCACGGCUAACUACGUG
rnacentral:rRNA from 1 species